rnacentral:rRNA from 1 species
CACUCCUGCGGGAGGCAGCAGUGGGGAAUUUUGGACAAUGGGCGAAAGCCUGAUCCAGCAAUGCCGCGUGUGUGAAGAAGGCCUUCGGGUUGUAAAGCACUUUUGUCCGGAAAGAAAUCCUUGGCUCUAAUACAGUCGGGGGAUGACGGUACCGGAAGAAUAAACACCGGCUAACUACGUGCCAGCAGCCGCGGUAAUACGUAGGGUGCGAGCGUUAAUCGGAAUUACUGGGCGUAAAGCGUGCGCAGGCGGUUUGCUAAGACCGAUGUGAAAUCCCCGGGCUCAACCUGGGAACUGCAUUGGUGACUGGCAGGCUAGAGUAUGGCAGAGGGGGGUAGAAUUCCACGUGUAGCAGUGAAAUGCGUAGAGAUGUGGAGGAAUACCGAUGGCGAAGGCAGCCCCCUGGGCCAAUACUGACGCUCAUGCACGAAAGCGUGGGGAGCAAACAGGAUUAGAUACCCCAGUAGUCCCAU